UGUGGGAGUGAUUUCUUAUUAAUAAAGAAACUGCCUUGGCCCAUUUUAUUGGAUAGAAAAUUAGGUAGGCGGAGUAGACAGAGGAGAAUGCUGGGAAAAAGAAGCUGUGUGAGGAGUCGCCAUGAUGCUCCCACUCCAGACAGACGCAGGUUAAGAUCCUCUCUGGUAAGCCAGCUCGUGGGCUACACAGAAUAUUAGAAAUGGGUUAGAACAAUAUGUAAGAGCCAAUAAGAAACUGGACCUAGCCUGGCCAGGCAGUGUUUGAAAGAA